rnacentral:rRNA from 1 species
GACGAACGCUGGCGGCGUGCUUAACACAUGCAAGUCGAACGGAAAGGCCCUGCUUUUGUGGGGUGCUCGAGUGGCGAACGGGUGAGUAACACGUGAGUAACCUGCCCUUGACUUUGGGAUAACUUCAGGAAACUGGGGCUAAUACCGGAUAGGAGCUCCUGCUGCAUGGUGGGGGUUGGAAAGUUUCGGCGGUUGGGGAUGGACUCGCGGCUUAUCAGCUUGUUGGUGGGGUAGUGGCUUACCAAGGCUUUGACGGGUAGCCGGCCUGAGAGGGUGACCGGCCACAUUGGGACUGAGAUACGGCCCAGACUCCUACGAGAGGCAGCAGUGGGGAAUAUUGCACAAUGGGCGGAAGCCUGAUGCAGCAACGCCGCGUGCGGGAUGACGGCCUUCGGGUGGUAAACCGCUUUCGCCUGUGACGAAGCGUGAGUGACGGUAAUGGGUAAAGAAGCACCGGCUAACUACGU